rnacentral:rRNA from 1 species
GACGUAGGGCGCGAGCGUUGUCCGGAUUAUUGGGCGUAAAGAGCUCGUAGGCGGCUUGUCGCGUCGACUGUGAAAACCCGUGGCUCAACCAUGUGGUCUGCAGUCGAUACGGGCAGGCUAGAAUUCGGUAGGGGAGACUGGAAUUCCUGGUGUAGCGGUGAAAUGCGCAGAUAUCAGGAGGAACACCGGUGGCGAAGGCGGGUCUCUGGGCCGAUAUUGACGCUGAGGAGCGAAAGCGUGGGGAGCGAACAGG